CUGGGGAGAGGAGCUUCAGGACCGACCAUCCAAGCUGCAUGAGGCAGCACUUCAGCUGACAGAGCAACAGCUGCAGUGGUGAGCGCCUCUCACUGCAGUGGCUGAGCUCAGCCCUGGUGUCUCCAGUGUAGCUCCCUUGAAUGGUGCAGGGCCAGUUAGGGGGAAUGACUCAUCGACUGACAUUGGUCUAGAAGAUGCAAGCAGUAAUCUCCACUGAAGUGGGAGUUCAAGCCAUAGCAACCUUGAGGCUGAGAUUGCAUUUGGGCCGUUGAAGCCAGCCAGCCCAGCUGAGAAGCUCUGAAAAUCCAGGGAUUCAAGGCCAAGCGAGGUUUUGGACUUGGAACUUGAGACUUCACGCUAUAGCAACUGAGCUAAAGGGCGGAAUCCCUGUCACAAGCCCUGAUUGCACCAAUGAUCCACGUUUUCCCUCUUGACUCUCAUACUUGACUUACUUCUUGGGGCUCUCAUCAACAGAAGCAACACUCCCUCAGCCACCUAAGGAACCAGCUUGAGCCAGCAGACUCAGGCACCACCAGUGGACAACCUGAAAGCACUUUUAAAUCCAGAG
rnacentral:lncRNA from 1 species